GGGCCCUUAGCUCAGCGGCAGAGCAGUGGACUCAUAAUCCAUUGGUCGCAGGUUCGAAUCCUGCAGGGCCCA
rnacentral:tRNA from 1 species